GAUCGUCAGCUAAGGUCCCUAAAUGUAAGUUAAGUGGUAAAGGAUGUGGGAUUGCACAGACAACCAGGAUGUUGGCUUAGAAGCAGCCACUCAUUCAAAGAGGGCGUAAUAGCUCACUGGUCGAGUGAUCCUGCGCCGAAGAUUUCCGGGGCUAAAACUUACUACCGAAGCUACGGCAUCAGGAAUGAUGGGUAGGGGAGCUUCCCAUACGGGUUGAAGCAUGACCGUAAGGACAUGUGGACAGUAUGGGAGUGAGAAUGUUGGCAUGAGUAGCGAGAUGUGGGUGAGAAUCCCACAGGCCGUAAACCCAAGGUUUCCAGGGGAAGGUUCGUCCGCCCUGGGUUAGUCGGGACCUAAGCUGAGGCCGAAAGGCGUAGGUGAUGGACAACAGGUUGAUAUUCCUGUACUACCGAUAACCGUUUGAGAGAAGGGAUGACACAGUAGGAUAAGCUAAGCACACUGUUGGUUAUGUGUGCCCAAGCAUUGAGGCGGUCAAAGUAGGCAAAUCCGCUUUGAUAAUGCUGGGAUGUGAUGGGGAGCGAAAUUUAGUAGCGAAGUAGCUGAUUUCACACUGUCAAGAAAAGUCUCUAUCGAGGUUAAAGGUACCCGUACCGCAAACCGACACAGGUGGGUGAGGAGAGUAUCCUAAGGCCAGCGAGAGAACUGUUGUUAAGGAACUCGGCAAAAUGACCCCGUAACUUAGGGAUAAGGGGUGCCACCAUCAGGUGGCCGCAGAGAAUAGGCCCAAGCGACUGUUUACCAAAAACAUAGGUUUCUGCUAAGUCGCAAGACGAUGUAUAGGAGCUGA
rnacentral:rRNA from 1 species